rnacentral:rRNA from 1 species
GUGCCAGCAGCCGCGGUAAUACAGAGAGUGCUAGCGUUAAUCGGAAUUACUGGGCGUAAAGCGCGCGUAGGUGGUUUGUUAAGUUGAAUGUGAAAUCCCCGGGCUCAACCUGGGAACUGCAUCCAAAACUGGCAAGCUAGAGUAUGGUAGAGGGUGGUGGAAUUUCCUGUGUAGCGGUGAAAUGCGUAGAUAUAGGAAGGAACACCAGUGGCGAAGGCGACCACCUGGACUGAUACUGACACUGAGGUGCGAAAGCGUGGGGAGC